GGACGGGUGAGUAAUGCCUAGGAAUCUGCCUAUUAGUGGGGGACAACGUUUCGAAAGGAACGCUAAUACCGCAUACGUCCUACGGGAGAAAGCAGGGGACCUUCGGGCCUUGCGCUAAUAGAUGAGCCUAGGUCGGAUUAGCUAGUUGGUGGGGUAAUGGCUCACCAAGGCGACGAUCCGUAACUGGUCUGAGAGGAUGAUCAGUCACACUGGAACUGAGACACGGUCCAGACUCCUACGGGAGGCAGCAGUGGGGAAUAUUGGACAAUGGGCGAAAGCCUGAUCCAGCCAUGCCGCGUGUGUGAAGAAGGUCUUCGGAUUGUAAAGCACUUUAAGUUGGGAGGAAGGGCAGUAAAUUAAUACUUUGCUGUUUUGACGUUACCGACAGAAUAAGCACCGGCUAACUCUGUGCCAGCAGCCGCGGUAAUACAGAGGGUGCAAGCGUUAAUCGGAAUUACUGGGCGUAAAGCGCGCGUAGGUGGUUUGUUAAGUUGGAUGUGAAAGCCCCGGGCUCAACCUGGGAACUGCAUCCAAAACUGGCAAGCUAGAGUACGGUAGAGGGUGGUGGAAUUUCCUGUGUAGCGGUGAAAUGCGUAGAUAUACGAAGGAACACCAGUGGCGAAGGCGACCACCUGGACUGAUACUGACACUGAGGUGCGAAAGCGUGGGGAGCAAACAAGAUUAGAUACCCUGGUAGUCCACGCGGUAAACGAUGUAAACUAACCGUU
rnacentral:rRNA from 1 species